rnacentral:piRNA from 1 species
UGUAAGAUGACAUUUCGAGAA